GACUGAUUGGCGCAAUGGUAGCGCGUUUGAUUCCAAUGCUCUGCUCGAAAAGGGUGAUAUCAAAAGGUUGCGUGUUCGAGUCACGUAUCGGUCA